CCCAUAAUGAACAGCUGGAUAAAGCGGGCCCCGAUGCUGAGUCGGCGUUCUGUGGCAACGGCUGCUGUGAUGGAUGGUCAGCUAUACGUGAUUGGAGGCAACGAUGGAGACGCACCCAUGAACACAGAUGUCUCUGAUUGUGUUCAACGGGUCGUUGUUGGCUGUGGGAGGCUCUGAUGGCAUCACCAAUCUGAAAACAAUAGAAUUCUACAACCAUGAGUCAAACACAUGGAGACACUUUGGAAGCAUGAAGACCAAGCAUCCGGGAGGCCACGUUGCCAUGUUGAAGACCAAACAUGGUUACAGCCUGUAACUGGAGAUAAUAACGUUGCUGGACAAUAGAAUAUGGAUUUAUGAUAUAGAUUUGUAUACUGUGUAUGUCCAAGUCGAAAUCGUACUGUAAUCCCCCGUAUGGUAUGUAAACAUAUAUGGCUAUUUAUUUAACCUUUAUUUAACCAGGAAGUAUUUCCUAAGCGAGACCUGAACUAUGAAACUAUGGACCAGGGGCGUCAUACACACAUUAUUUUAGAGGGGGCACGAAGUACAUGAGGAUGG